CCUUCGAUAGCUCAGCUGGUAGAGCGGAGGACUGUAGGCUCUCUGGCACGGCCAUCCUUAGGUCGCUGGUUCAACUCCGGCUCGAAGGA
rnacentral:tRNA from 1 species